UUCGCCGUGGAAAACCCCUCCGGGUUGUCGGCGGGUGCGGAGCGCUCGCCGAGCGGCCGGGGCUGUCGCGUCUUUUCCUCUGUCCCGCGGAGUGUAAGGCGGCCUGCUGCUCUGAGCGGCUCGCCGCCGCCAGGCGGGAAGCCGUGUAGGCUUGGGCCUCCCACGGGUGUGGAGACUCUGAGGAGAAAGACCUUGCAGUCCUUGAAGUGAAAUGGCGGGAAAGCUCACUUGGCAAGGUCGUUUGCGAACGCACUGGAAAAGUGUGGCACUUGGGAGCAGCAUCUGGGUGGAAUUUAUCUGACUGGGCAUACAGCAUUCUCUCCGUGUGUGUCACUUCACGUUGUCACUCGAAAAUAGCUUCUACAAAAACUGCCGAGCGCUCCUGUGCUCGGGUAAUCAUUUGCUUAAGGUCCCUGCUCCUCGCCCAGCAGGUUGCCCUCCAAGCGCCAAAACCUUAAAACGGAUUUCCACGGAAUUAAAAAUAAGCCUCAGACUGGGCAGUCUAUAUCAGCUGAAAUUUAAACUACACAUGUUCUUUGGCCUAGAAGUUGACUGCUAGGAAUUAACCAUAUAAAUAUCUUUGGAAAAGUGCAGUCUGUGGGAUUUGAGUGAACUUAGAAGGUACUUCAGAGCUGACUUUUAAAGAAUGAAAGUGACUGAAUGAUAGAAAAAAAGCUGAGAAAAGAUAUAGAAGAAAAAGACUACAUUGCCCCUCCCCCCAUUUUGACCCACCCCUGUCUUCAGCUACCUUCAGAUAUUGUUGAUCAGCAGCAGCAGAAAGAGUUCCUCCAAAAGGCAGCUGUUACUAGAAGAUCUUCUUUCUCAAUUCCAAGGUAGCAGUGAUUGGAUAGAGAACACAUCUUAGAUGAAUUAAAAACACAGAACAAGAGGAAUAAGCUGGGAUUUAUCCCAGCAAGGGCUACUGUACAGUGAACUUAACAAUACUCUCAAGUUAUCACCUUCUAUCCAGAUCAGGAACCUUGAGUAGUCAUCACAUCAGCCUUAUAUUCAUAGAUUUUAGAGAUCUACAAUGUCAAUUCGACGACAAUGGAUAGAAGCUUCCAUGGGAAGUGUGUGACUUCUUGAAAAAAUAUGGAAGAAAAAUGAGUGACUAUUUUGACCUUUAGUUUUAUGAAAUUUCAUAUAACAGAAUCU